GAACAGUUACCUCCUGUGUCUUCUCAUCCUUGAAGACUCACCUCAACCAACACCUUCUUCAGAAAAUCCUCGCUGGUGUCCUUCCUUCUCAUUCUCUCCUCCACAGCCUAGUGGCUGACAUAGUAACUGAUGAGUGGGAGAUAGACAGCCCCAAAUUGCCCCGGAUGUCAAGAAAUGCCAGAUUUUGCCAUCAAUAACUUAAAAACUAAAUUACAAGGCAGAUCAAGAUGCACUCAGUGCUUGGCCAUUUGGUGUACUUCUUUGGUGGUUUUUGAAUAUAUGCCAAAAAUGCCUUUCUCAGAACUUCUACCAACCAGAGUGUAUCUCAAAUGCUAAAAUGGUGAACUAAAAAAGAUACUUGAGGAAAGUUAACUUUUUAUAAAUUUUAAAAAUCAGUCCAAUUAUCAGGAAAAUACUGUUUUCAGGAAGCAUUUUAUAGUUUGGUACAGCUGACUCAUGCAAUUUGCUAGAAGACAGAAGAGACCCUGCCAAGCGGUUUGUGUAUUUAUUGCGGUGUUUCCCAUUGGAAAGACUAGUUAUAUAUUCCACUCUGCUGAAAAUGGCUUCCCCUUUGCCCCUGCAAAAUAACCCUAGAGUUAUUCUCUCUUUCAAAUGCUAACAUCAUGUUUCUUAUGAAAAGAGCUAAAACUCAGAGAGCCACAGGUCCCUAAGUCUAAAUUCAGAAGUAUGACCUUUUAGGAAAUAGACCCUUUUUUUGUUUUUUGAGAAAACAGUUUAAAAAUCCAGACUGUGAAUGACUGCCUCUCAGUUGGAAAGGUCACUUUGAGUGCACUGUCCACAACAUUAACUAGAAAUGACCCUUGUCAUCACUCUCAGCAUGUGGGACAGAAGAAACAAAUGAAAAAACACACCCGAAAGAUGUUUUCUAGAAUAGGCCACUUGGAUAAUAGAUGAGACGCUGUGCUUGUGGACCACAUGGGCUCCUGGGGCAUUGUUCCCACUGUGUGUGAGUGUGCUGGGUGGCUUCACGAUGACAAGGCCGUGGAGAACUGCAGCAUCUCAACUGGACCACCAUCGCAAAGUGAAGAAAACGUCGUCUCGGUUCCCAGCUAAGAGCACUCCCUCAUACAUUGAUUUUUCCUGUCAUCCAUGGAUAAGAGUCCAGGAGCCCCACAGAGAAACUCAGUGUGCCAUUGGAGCAGAAGAACCCAAGAACAGAUGCAUUAAGAAGAUUCGGAGGCCGAGACUUUCACGCUCCCGGGAGCGCCCUGCAUUGGCGCGAUUCAAGGGCUGCCUGCUUUAUUUAAUUAAUACAUUCAAAGCUCGCCUGGGACCCGAGAGCCUGGGGGUGGAGGGAGAGGCCGAGGCCGGGCGUGUGGAGGAGGCGCUUUUAACGGGUUCCAGGUGUCGAUGCCCAGAAGUCACAAUCUGCCCAAGGCUGUGCGAUGCAGGGAGUGCAGGCGGCGGGCGGCGGCUCGCUACUCCCAGCCUCUCCAGCGGACCCGACCCGGACGCUAGGGUGGGCGCGGCUGAAGCGGGCCUCGGGCCUAGAUGCACUUCGCGGGUAACGGGCCGAUUGGACCCUCGCUCCAUCCUGGCCAAGGCCUCCUGGGGCCUUCUGACAACCUCGCCUCCACCCGGCCCGCACGCCUCGACCCGGGAG
ensembl:lncRNA